UAGUCCACGCCGUAAACGAUGGUUACUAGCUGUUCGGUACUUGUACUGAGUGGCUAAGCGAAAGUGAUAAGUAACCCACCUGGGGAGUACGUUCGCAAGAAUGAAACUCAAAGGAAUUGACGGGGGCCCGCACAAGCGGUGGAGCAUGUGGUUUAAUUCGAUGAUACGCGAGGAACCUUACCAGGGCUUAAAUGUAGUGGGACAGGUGUGGAAACACGCCCUUCUUCGGACUCAUUACAAGGUGCUGCAUGGUUGUCGUCAGCUCGUGCCGUGAGGUGUCAGGUUAAGUCCUAUAACGAGCGCAACCCCUGUUGUUAGUUGCCAGCACAUUAUGGUGGGAACUCUAACAAGACUGCCGGUGCAAACCGUGAGGAAGGUGGGGAUGACGUCAAAUCAUCACGGCCCUUACGUCCUGGGCUACACACGUGCUACAAUGGCCGGUACAGAGAGUCGCAAACUAGUGAUAGUGAGCUAAUCUUCAAACCCUAUCUCAGUUCGGAUCGGAGUCUGCAACUCG
rnacentral:rRNA from 1 species